AUCUUGUCUCAGUUUUUCUUUCUACAAAGAAAACUUCCCUGGGCAUCGUGAUUUUGGUCGAGAGCCGUUUUGUACAGGAUGGCUGCCAUCGAAGCUAAGGCAUCGGGUGUCUACUCUUCACACGCGUCUAAGUCUGGCCCAUGCUGGGGCGCCAGAAACCCCCAAUUAUUCAGGUUAUGCUGCAUUUCUCUGUCCUGUUUGAACUCACCCCAUAACACGACGGUCCAGACCCGCAGCGGCACGUCAACUUUUCCCCGGCCCGGGUUGCCAUCCAUGGCUGCAUGAAGGUUUCCACCCCAAAACCCCAACCUACAACCAGCAGUUGUUGCUGUUGGCGACCUUGGGCGCCUCCGUGGGGACACCCGUCACCUUAAAGUCGUCUACUUGGAAGACCCAACGCCCUGGGACGUUGACGUUGGAGGUCUUGGUGAUGUUGAUGAUGGCAUCGGUCUGGGAGCCAGGGAUGUUGUAGAAAUUGGUUUCAUCUCCG